UACGGGGGGGGCAAGCGUUGUUCGGAAUUACUGGGCAUAAAGGGUUUGUAGGUGGCUUGCUAAGUCAGACGUGAAAUCCCUCAGCUUAACUGAGGAACUGCGUCUGAGACUGGCAAGCUUGAGUGCAGGAGAGGAACGCGGAAUUCCAGGUGUAGCGGUGAAAUGCGUAGAUAUCUGGAGGAACACCGGUGGCGAAGGCGGCAUCCUGGACCGACACUGACGCUGAGGAGCGAAAGCCAGGGGAGCAAACGGG
rnacentral:rRNA from 1 species